AGAAUACAGAGGGAAGAAGAUGUGAAGAGACACUGGGAGGAGACAGCUGUCCACAAGCCAGAGAGAGAGGCCGAAAACGGGCGGUCCUACAGAGCUUUCGGGAAGAGCUAAGCAGGACGACACCUUGGCUUUGGAAUCCCAGCCUCUAGAACUGUGAGGACAUAAAUCCCUGUUGCUCAGGCCCCUCCGUUGGCAGCACUUUGGUGUGGCAUCUCUAGGGAGCCAGACGUCCUAGACAAACACGACUGUAACUGGAAGCUGACACAAUCCAGUGUCUCAUCCUGAAAUAUGAAGCACGGAACAACACUUCACACCACGCCCUGCAAUCAGGUGCUCAUGCACUUGUGAAUUUCCGUUUAGGGAUGAUAUGCUAAGCCAGCGAUUGCUUUCCUGAUGGUCAUGCUUACUACACUUCACACAGCUCUCCUAAUCUGGCUUAGGCUGCUCUGUAUUAUGAGUCUAUCUCUUUAAGACAGUGGUCCCCAGCCUUCUUGGCACCAGGGACUGCUUUUGUGGAAGACAAUUUUUCCACAGACUCAUCGGGGAUGGUUUCAGGAUGAUUAAACUACAUUACAUUUAUUGUGAACUUUAUUUCUAUUACUAUAUUGUAAUAUACAGUGAAAUAAUUAUACAACUCACCAUAAUGUGAAGCAGUGGGAGCCCUGAGCGUGUGUUCCUGCAACUAGAUGGUCCCAUCUAGGGGUGAUGGGACAGUGACAGAUCAUCAGGAAUUAGAUUCUCAUAAGGAGUGUGCAACAGCAGAGAUCCCACGCAUGCACAGUUCACAGUAGGGUUUGGGCUCCCAUGAGACUCUAAUGCCACCACUGAUCUGACAGGAGGUGGAGCUCAGGCAGUGAUGCGAAUGAUGGCCAGUGACUGUAAAUGCAGAUGAAGCUCUGCUUGCUGGCAGCUGCUCACCUCCUGCAGCCAGGUACUGAUCCAUGGCCAGGGGGUUGGGGACCUCUGCUUUAGGGUACACUCUUGGAUUCCAUAAAAAUAAUUUCAUAUGGCUCCAGAAUUCAAGAGGAAUUUUAUUUGUGUAUGUAUUAUCUUAUUACAUUUCAGCUUUCAUUUUAAUAACCAUUAUUAUUAUAAUAUUACUAUGAUUAGUAUUAUUGUUAUAAAGAAGAGGAGAAAGUAGAGAUCCUUAUUUGGUGCUUCCUGCCUGCCAGGCAAUGUGCUACACAAUGUAGAAAAUAAUCUGAUUUAAUCUUCCCUCAGCCUGUGAACUAGAUCCCUGUCUCACAGAUUAGAAAACUGAGACCAAGAAAAUUUCCCUCUCUGAUGAUUCAUGAUGUUGAGAAUUUCAAAAUAUAUUUGUGGCCUCACAGAGAGGCCAAGAAAAUUUCCCAAGGCAAGUAGAAAAGCCAGAAAUUUAACUCAAGUCGUGCGGCAGUUCACAGGGACGUCAAUGUCAUGGUCCUGAAUUUCAGUUUUAAAAUUUUAUCACUGUUAUAAUUGUAGGUACCUUGAUUCUCUAAAGCAAUUGAAAUAAGGGAGCAUAUGUGUACACGUGAUGGAAAGAUAAGCUUGUUUUCAAUCAUUAGCAGGGUGCAAAAACUAUGUGUUCACAUAUGUGUCUAAGGAUCAGGACUAAUUUUGAGUGGAUUUCCCUAAUCAAGAAAAGUAGCUCAUGAAUUGCCCCCAUAUGAAAAUUUUAUUUGAAAAAAUGAA